CGGCGGACGGGUGAGUAACGCGUGGGUAACCUGCCUCAUACAGGGGGAUAACAGUUGGAAACGACUGCUAAUACCGCAUAAGCGCACAGUACCGCAUGGUACAGUGUGAAAAACUCCGGUGGUAUGAGAUGGACCCGCGUCUGAUUAGCUAGUUGGUGGGGUAACGGCCUACCAAGGCGACGAUCAGUAGCCGACCUGAAAGGGUGACCGGCCACAUUGGGACUGAGGCACGGCCCAA
rnacentral:rRNA from 1 species